rnacentral:rRNA from 1 species
GAUGAACGCUGGCGGCGUGCCUAAUACAUGCAAGUCGAGCGAACAGACGAGGAGCUUGCUCCUCUGACGUUAGCGGCGGACGGGUGAGUAACACGUGGAUAACCUACCUAUAAGACUGGGAUAACUUCGGGAAACCGGAGCUAAUACCGGAUAAUAUAUUGAACCGCAUGGUUCAAUAGUGAAAGACGGUUUUGCUGUCACUUAUAGAUGGAUCCGCGCCGCAUUAGCUAGUUGGUAAGGUAACGGCUUACCAAGGCAACGAUGCGUAGCCGACCUGAGAGGGUGAUCGGCCACACUGGAACUGAGACACGGUCCAGACUCCUACGGGAGGCAGCAGUAGGGAAUCUUCCGCAAUGGGCGAAAGCUUGACGGAGCAACGCCGCGUGAGUGAUGAAGGUCUUCGGAUCGUAAAACUCUGUUAUUAGGGAAGAACAAAUGUGUAAGUAACUAUGCACGUCUUGACGGUACCUAAUCGGAAAGCCACGGCUAACUACGU